GGAGAGAUGGCUGAGCUGGUCGAAGGCGCACGAUUGGAAAUCGUGUAAUGGCUAAUACCCAUUCAGGGGUUCGAAUCCCCUUCUCUCCGCCA
rnacentral:tRNA from 1 species